rnacentral:rRNA from 1 species
CCCGUUUGUUGACAGCGGAAGGACAUUU